rnacentral:rRNA from 1 species
GCCUGCCCUGUGACCAAAAGUUUAACGGCCGCGGUAUUUUGACCGUGCAAAGGUAGCGCAAUCACUUGUCUCUUAAAUGGAGACCCGUAUGAAUGGCAUAACGAGGGCUUAACUGUCUCCUUUUUCAGGUCAAUGAAAUUGAUCUCCCCGUGCAGAAGCGGGGAUAAUUACAUAAGACGAGAAGACCCUAUGGAGCUUCAGACACCAAGACAGACCAUGUCAAACACCCCAAAUUACCGGGCCAAACAAAUGAAACCCUGUCCUAAUGUCUUCGGUUGGGGCGACCGCGGGGAAAUACAAAACCCCCACGUGGAAAGGGAGCACCCCUCCUACAGUCAAGAGCUUCCGCUCUACUAAACAGAACUUCUGACCUUAAGAUCCGGCAAAGCCGAUCAACGGACCAAGUUACCCUAGGGAUAACAGCGCAAUCCCCUUCUAGAGCCCAUAUCGACAAGGGGGUUUACGACCUCGAUGUUGGAUCAGGACAUCCUAAUGGUGCAGCCGCUAUUAAGGGUUCGUUUGUUCAACGAUUAAAGUCCUACGUGAU